rnacentral:rRNA from 1 species
UACGAAGGGGGCUAGCGUUGCUCGGAAUCACUGGGCGUAAAGCGCACGUAGGCGGAUUGCUAAGUCAGGGGUGAAAUCCUGGAGCUCAACUCCAGAACUGCCUUUGAUACUGGCAACCUUGAGUCCGGGAGAGGUGAGUGGAACUGCGAGUGUAGAGGUGAAAUUCGUAGAUAUUCGCAAGAACACCAGUGGCGAAGGCGGCUCUCUGGACCAGCACUGACACUGAGGCACGAAAGCGUGGGGAGCAAACAGG